CUAACACAGAUGCUUGGCGUAUUCGGCAAAUUGGAAGAUGUGGCAAACUGAACUUGCAAUCCUAACUGAAAGACGUUCUCGGAGAGUGAGUGUAGCUCUGCUCUGAGUGGGGACGCAUCCCAGGCGCCACCACCGCUGCGGUCUUCCUCCAGGUGGAGCUGUUCCGCGUGACCACGCUUGUGCCGCUGUUUAAAACCAGAGAGAUACUUUCUAAUUGUGUGUCUUUCAAAGUGUCCACAAGAAAAUGAGAAGGCUCAACUUAGCAGACAUAAACUUUCCACAUGAUCACAAUGUUCCCCAAAUGUCUGCUGAACAGAAACAGUCUUGCCAAAAGAGCAUUAAAAAUAGAAGACAGCACCCUCAAACACCCCUCCGUGCACUAAGCCCGUUUCCGGGUAGCAGUCAGGCCCUGGGCCCGGGCUCCAUGCUUCACCGAGCUCUGGCCGCCCUCGGAGCCCAUCUUCGGGCGCUGGGCCUUCGUUCAUCCACUCCGGUACCCGAGGGCCAAGCCGCCGCGUGCCCCAGAGCCUCGGGACCUGCUGCCCUCCCUGUCUACAAAGCAGCCACAGAGCCUGCUCGGUGAGCCUCAGAGAUCAGCGAGACGGCAGAGGGGAAGGCGCGCAGGAGGGGAAGCUGGUGUGGAAAGGACUGAGACGUGCUGCGUAUCACUCCACGAGGAACGCAGCCAUCACACACGAGACGCGCUAAUAAAAAUAAAAACUUGCAAAAGAUUGAAAGAAGAUC
rnacentral:lncRNA from 1 species